GUGAAACUAGCACCAGAGGAAGCUUCAGCCAUUUCCUUCCUCUGAGUUGGAGGCCUGGUUCUCUGCUCCAGCCUAGCAGGGAGUCUGAGGGGGAGGAGAGAUCCUGACUUGUGCUGCCUUCCCCGUCUCAGGCUUCGUCCAUGUUCUGCCCCUCCAGCUCACAUCCCUGCGCUUCUGACCUCAGGAACCAAUAGCCACUAACUACUAGGGUUGCUGACCAUUCCCUGAGCAAGUGAGGCUAACCUACUGUGUGCACAGCGCUGCCUACCAGGAAUUGUGCUUCUCUGAUCUUCCAGGCACCUGCCUUUGGCUUCAGGAAAGUAAGGCGGAAGGUCUGGCUGGGUAUAGAUUGCACAUAACCGUCUCCCCAACCUAUCUCCAUAAAGAGACCAGUCUUCCGUCCAGAAAAUGUUUAGCAAAUUUAAGAUCCUGCCCUGCUACACUAGGCUCUCCAGUCUCUACAUAGUAUAACUGGUCAUGGGCUUGAGGAAAACGAAGAAAUACACAACUCCUAAAGGGCCCGUGGGCUUGGGUUGCGGGACACACGUUCACAAACACACGGUCUGGGCGGCGGC